CUCUCUGUCCUUGCCUCUUCUUGUGCUGUCUUCCUUCGUAGGACAAGGGCAGGUGGGUUAGGUGUGCAUCCCCACAGGCUAGGUCUUGUGAGCUAUGAACAAGUAGGGGACCGAAAUGAUGCUGGGCAGUGGGCGCUAGAGUGAAGCGGUGACUGUGGGUGUUGACUUAGUCUCUGCUCUAGUAGGGCUGAUGUGGGAGGCAGGGAUGAGGGCAAGAUUUCACGCACCAAUUGAAUUUUUUGUAGUGAGGGCUCUUGCUUGGCUUAUUUGCUGCACUUGUAGAGGAAUUGUCCAGGAGCAGGCAGCCAGAGGAGAAAUUGGCAGAUGUGGGCCUGAGGAGCCUGGACAUUCUUCUAAGGAGACAUGAACAGUCCUCAGCUUUCUGCCUCGUGCAUAACUGGCUGUGGUACCAAGGGAAAAGAAGUGACGAGUCAGAGUCUACUGCCCUCAUGCGAUGGAAAGCGAGUGAGAGUGAUGGGACUGCGAGAAUUAUUGAUGCCUUGAAAAAGCCGUCCAACUGGGAAUGGAACAGUCAUCACUGUCAAUGAGAUAAGUGUCUGUUUUGGUGAUUGCUCUGCUCACGGCCCACCUUGCUCCUGAAAGGGAUGCCCCGUUUGCUGAGGCUGUGUUUGUAAGAAAAGGUUCCUGACUAGUUGUGGUUUUGAGAGAGAGAGAAGAUUCCCAUUUUUAGGGGCUGCUCAGUUUUCUGGCCAGGAGCAGUGUGUCCUAUGCAGCAGAAGGUUGCAUCUAGGAGAAUGAGUCCAGGUGGUGAAUUGCUUGCCUUUCUCUCGUGUUUCUCUCUCUUCUCUAGUGUGUUGGCCAACACUCUUUCUCAAUCUGUCCUUGCCUUUCAUUGUGCUGUCUCCCUUCUUAGGAUAUCGGCAGGCGAGCUAGGUGUGCACCCCCACAGGUUGUGUCUUGGGAGCCAUAAAGAAGUAGGAGGGGACGAAAAUCAUGCGGGGCAGUCGGUGUGAGACUGGAGCGAUGACUGUUGGUGUUGUGGGGCUAAGACAGAUCGAAAGCGACGCAGGGAAGAGGGCCUUAAUUGGGCUCUAUGUAGUGCGGGAGUUCUCAAACUGGGGUUUAGGUCCCGUCAAGGGGCCGCAAGGUUGUUAUCUGGGGGGUUGUGAAAUGUCAUCCUCCAUCCUAAACAUCACUUUGCUUCCAGCAUUUAUAAUGGUGUUGAAUAUACAAAAAGUGUUUUUAAUUUAUAAGGGGAGGGUCACACUCAGAAGCUUUCUAUGUAAAAGGGAUCAUCAGUACAAAAGGUUGAGAACCACUGGUGUAGUGAUAGUUCUUGCUUGCCUUCAUUAAUUUGCAGAGGAAUUGUCCAGGAGUCUCAGCUGGAGAAGAAGCUGGCAGAAGUGGACCUGAACUGCCUAGACAUCCUUCUAAGGAGACAUGAACAGUCCUCAGCUUUCUGCAUUCUGGAUAACUGGCUAUGAUACCAAGGAAAAAUAAGUCACAUGUCAGUCUACUGCCCUCAUGCAAUGGAAAGUGAGUGAGAGCAGCGAGCCUGUGAGCAUUGUUCAUGCCAGGCAAGAGCCGUUCAUUUGGGAGCCAAGCAGAUGUCACUGUCAGUGAGAUAAGUGUCUGUUUUGCUGAGGGUUCUGUUAUCAGCCAAUCUGACUCCAGGUACAGACACCCUGUUAGCUGGGGCUGAUUUGUCAGAAGAGUUUCCUGACUAGCUGGGGAGACAAGGUCCCCAUUUUCAGGGGCUUGUCAUUUCUCUGUUCACAAGGAGUGUAUCCUCCUCAGGAGAAGGUUGGAUCCAGGAGGAUGACUCCAGAUGGUGAGUUACUUGCCUUUCUCCUGUGUUUCUCUCUCUCUCUCUUCUCUAGUGUGUUGGCCAACACUCUUUCUCUCUGUCUCUGUCCUUGCCUCUCCUUGUGCCGUCUCCCUUCAUAGAACAGGGGCAGGAGUGCUAGGUGUGC